UACGUAGGGUGCGAGCGUUAAUCGGAAUUACUGGGCGUAAAGCGUGCGCAGGCGGUUUUGUAAGACAGAUGUGAAAUCCCCGGGCUUAACCUGGGAACUGCAUUUGUGACUGCAAGACUAGAGUGCGGCAGAGGGGGGUGGAAUUCCACGUGUAGCAGUGAAAUGCGUAGAUAUGUGGAGGAACACCAAUGGCGAAGGCAGCCCCCUGGGAUAACACUGACGCUCAUGUACGAAAGCGUGGGUAGCAAACAGG
rnacentral:rRNA from 1 species